rnacentral:rRNA from 1 species
CCUACGGGGGGCAGCAGUGGGGAAUAUUGGACAAUGGGGGGAACCCUGAUCCAGCCAUGCCGCGUGUGUGAAGAAGGCCCUCGGGUUGUAAAGCACUUUCAGUGAGGAAGAACGCCUGGUGGUUAAUACCCAUCAGGAAAGACAUCACUCACAGAAGAAGCACCGGCUAACUCCGUGCCAGCAGCCGCGGUAAUACGGAGGGUGCGAGCGUUAAUCGGAAUUACUGGGCGUAAAGCGCGCGUAGGUGGCUUGAUAAGCCGGUUGUGAAAGCCCCGGGCUCAACCUGGGAACGGCAUCCGGAACUGUCAAGCUAGGGUGCAGGAGAGGAAGGUAGAAUUCCCGGUGUAGCGGUGAAAUGCGUAGAGAUCGGGAGGAAUACCAGUGGCGAAGGCGGCCUUCUGGACUGACACUGACACUGAGGUGCGAAAGCGUGGGUAGCAAACAGGAUUAGAUACCCGUGUAGUC